GGCGACUGCCGCUGACAAGAUGGAGGCGCGCAGCCCGCCCUGCGCCAGCUCCCCCCCGAGGCGGCAGGUUACCUCACGGCGAGGGAGCACUUUGUAAAGCAAUUUGUAGGGCGGCUCUACCGCCCUGCCUUGCCCCGCCAAGGGGGGAGGUGUCCGAGCGGGCGCCUCCCCUCUCCGCGGGGCGCGCCGACCCGCCGCCUUCCUCACUGGAAAAUCCAGCCGGCGGGGGGUGCAAGGCUGGAGGUACAAAGGCAGAGAUGAGCAGGAGGAAUGUGUCUCUAAGGUAAAGAUGAGGAGUAUCACUUGAAAAGAGUCGACUGUACCUGAAGGCAGUGCUCAGAACAGGAAGAUGUAUGCUAAUGUAUGAUCGAGGCUUGGCAGAAAAUGGCUCCAGUUUUAUGCUAAUGACAAAGCACUUACUAUUGAAAGUAGCAUUUCCAGCAGCUUCCAAGAUGCCACCACUGCUGUUUAUGUUGAUUCCUCCCACUCAGGAAGAAAUGGUCUAUGUUUUUACUUGAUGAUUUAAGAAGGGGUCCAGUAAAGACCAGAACUGGUAUAAGGUAUGUGGGAGAAAUGUGCAAUGACAUGUUGGAAAAACAAAACUUUGCUUUUGAAUAAACUCACAGUUGUAAUGAAAGUAUUUUAGUUU
rnacentral:lncRNA from 14 species